rnacentral:lncRNA from 10 species
GGGACACCGGCGGGCAGAGCUGCGGGGCCGGAGGCACCCGGGGCCAGGAGCGGAAGUCCGAGGGGACCCCACGGCGGAGGAGCGGCAGAGCCCGGGCCCCGCGGGAGAGAGAGGCGGGAGCCUCUCACACUAACAGUUGAUCGGCGGAUUCCACUUACUGUGACUAUCCAGUCUCCUCUAGGCCUUUGGACAUCUGAAAGGCAGUGUUAAGAGCCCAACUCUGGAGAUGGACUUUGGCUCCACCACCAAGUAUUAAUAGCUCUGUGACUUGGGGCAAGUUACUUAACCUCCCUACACCACAGUUUCCACUGCUGUAAAUUGGGGAUGAUGAUAAUAACAGCCACCUCACAAGGUUGCCUGGAGAUUUGAUUAAAUGAAAUAAUUAGCAUGGAGUUUAUCUAGUCUUACCUGUCAGAGUCAAGAGCCUUCUUUCUCCUAAGCUGACCUUAGUAUCUCCCCCUGUCCGCCCCCUUUACUUUGGAUCCUAACUCAUAAAACGGGAUUGCUUGACAGUAUGUUUUCUUUGUGUACAGAUAGCUUGUUUCUUCAACCUACAUUUUAAGUUCUUUCAACAGUCACUUUUAUUUCUAUGCACACUUAAAGGCACCAACUUAGUGCAUUGCACACAACUUGUGUUCAAUAAAUUUUUGUUGAUUGAAUGAUAAAUAAAACCUCAGUGAUACCUAGAAAGAGAUUUUUCUAGAAAAUUUGAAGGUAUAGAAAAGAAAAACUCUUCAUAGGGCAGGAUGAGUAGAAUAAAACUUGAGAUAUGAAGUCAACUUUGUUAGUUUAGAACCAUAAAAAUGUAUCAUGUAGAGUAAUCUCAACUAUGUAAAGAAAACUGCAAAACAAAACUGGAAGUAAACAUGCCAGAUUUUAUAGUUGAUGUCUUAGUGUAGGAGGAGUAUGAGUGAUUUUUUUCCCCUCCUGUUUUAUACUUUUUAGUCCUUUCCAGCUUUUCCAUGGUCAAUAUGUGUUUCUGAGUUGCUCAGGAAAAGUACUUCUAUUAUCCAUAUAAUUUAGCCAAUCAAAAUGAUCACAUUUUGGAUAUUUAGAGAUGUGAUGACCUUGGAGGAAAAAAAAAAUCAUGAGAACAAAACAAUUGCGUUCCUCUAAGUUUUCCUUCAUUUUUUUUCCCCAGAGCAGCCACCCUUUACUGAUUUGUGCCAGAAAAUCAAUUUGUCAGUUUGAAGUGUAGAGAUAUUUCCUUUUCAGGGACCAGAAUAUUUGUCUUUCCUAUCUAGGGGACUUCCUUUGAAGUGUCAAGAUUCCAGGCAGGGAAUCAGCAUUGUAGAAGGGUCUUGGACUAAAUUCAGAGCCAAGGCAAAGUGAGGCAAAUUAUCUUAAUGAUUAUUUCAACUAGCUUAGUGAACUUUCACCUUUUCAGUGAUUUAUUUUAUUUAUUUAUUUUUUUUAGACAGGGACUUGCUCUGUGCAGGCUAGAAUGCAGUGGUGCAAUCAUAGCUCACUGAAGCCUUGAACCUCUGGGCUCAAACGAUCCUCCUGCCCCAGCUUCCCAAGUAGCUGGGACUACAGGCAUGCAUUACCAUGCCCAGCUAAUAUUUUAAAUUUUUGGUAGAGAUGGGGUCUUGCCCAGGGUGGCCUUGAACUCCUGGCCUCAAGCAAUCCUCCUGCCUUGGCCUCCCAAAGCUCUGGGAUUACCGACAUGAGCCACCGUGCUGGCCUCCUGUGAUUUCUUUCUUUAUUUAUUUACUAUUAUUUUUAUUUUUUUCUUUCAAGGCUUUAGGAUGUACCAGUGAUCUUCUGUUUAUAUUACUGUAACAUAAAAAAAACACACACAACAACUUACAAAGUUAUAAUUCACUCAACUGGAGUUACCUUCCACUUUUACUGAAAAUUAGGACAACACUUCAAUUUAUCUGUGCAUAGAGUCAUUCAUUCAACAAAAAUUUACUAAGUGCCAGGCCAUGUGCUGAUGCUGGAAAUGAGAAAUAAGACCUGGUCCUUAUCUUUCAGAAGUUUAGGGUCUAGUUGAUGAACACUCAUAUACAAACAGUGAUAUGUAGAAAAUUGUCUCAAGGGCUUCGGUAGAUCCAGGUAGACAGACUUACAGCAGCUAGUGGGACAAAAAUGAGAAGCCAGUUCUAGUUGGGCAGGGAGACAGCAAAGAGGAGGGAGCAGAAAAGAACUUCAGAGACAACCAGUUAUCUGGGCUGAUUAUGAAUCUUUAGCUUAUAAGUGGGUAGUAUUUCCUGACGUGAGGCUAUUGUUUUUUUUUGUACUUUGUCGUAAUCAUGUUGUCUUACAUACUGUCUAUCUGAUUACUUUCUCUGCUACAUUAAGGAUAUGCUUCAUGAUUCUUUCCAUCAUUGAGAAAUGCAAUGAGUUUAUAACAUUUAAAUCCUAUUCCAUCAUAGUCUAAGAACUGACCAAAUUUUAAAAAUAUAUCAAUCAUUUUAUCAGGUAACAUUGAAAUUUGUAAAAUACAAAAACCCUAAACUUUUUACUUUUACUUAAAGUGUAUAAUUGUACAUUCAUUCCUCAAUGAUUAGAUGUUGGGCUCAGUGUUGGAAUCCUCUGAUUGAAAUUACUCAUUGUUUUUCUUGCAUUAACCCUGCCUGUGAUACACUGGGUUUAUGGUUUCCAGCCUUUGUUUUUCUAUAGAGAAGAGUGAGCUUAGACACUUAACAAACAAUAUGAGUGUGGAGUCUUUUAGGCUUUACACUUUCUUUUCCUAAUCUUUUAGUUUUUUAGCCCAUAACUAAUUUG